UGCAAACAGUUGGACACAGCUUAGCAUGCAUGCAGCGGUUAUCUAGCCCAACACUCCUAUUUUGCAAAUGGAGAAACUAAGGACCAGAGUUCUUCCUCCACAGGUCCAUGAUGUACUCUUCUUUAAAUUUGAAAAGUGUGGGAUGGGCUGGGUUGGCAGAAAGUUUGCAGUUAAGCAGAAGGGGGUCAAAAUCAUGCCCUUUUCCACACUGGCUAAGAAGUCACGCUUGGCCUCUGAACCUCACUUCCUCGCCUUUAAUACAACAGGUCAUCACAGCUGGGUGAGGAUUAGCAUCUCCGUGAAUGGGGCCCUCUGGGGGUCAGGAAGCUGAUAAGCACUUUACUGGCAGCAUCUCAGGGAACCCCCCAGAGACGGACACCCACCCCACUUCCCAGGUUUUGAUGACAGCAAUUGUCCACGGAAUUUAGAUGCUGCUGUUAUUCCGCUGUUACUAAUACCGAUGAUCGACCCGCUGCCCGCUGGCAAGUCCCAGGUUCAGCUCCUGCCUCUUCUCCCUGUCCCAGUCAUAGUAGGGGUACAGCUUCUGAUUUCCCGCAGUAAGAACACCCACAAAACUGGAAAGAGCGGUGACUAGACUGGCCGUCAGCCACAGCAGUACAAGCGCCAUCAGUCAGCCCUGAAGACCAAACUCUGUUGGCAGCCAUCCCAUAAUUAUCCACUGGCUUGGCUCUUGGUGAGAUGGGAAGGGAGAAAAAGGAAUUUUACACAUUUAUUAAUUUUCCCCCACCUGUUUGGAGUCCUGCUGAAAUAGGGCUUAUGAGCCACACUGAAAGCUGGCUCGACCGGAUGCCUCGAUUGACUGGAUGUCUGAAGCCUGGCUCCUGGCAGGACAGGGGUCUGAAAACCAGCCUUUGGACCUUGGGCGGGAGGAAUGGGAGUGGUGGUCCCUGCAGGGGCAAUGCUUGAAAUACACAAGUGGUUUGUGGAACAACGGCUGCUGGUGGAGGGUCAGGACUAGCCAGAUCCAGCUUGGCCUGGUCUCACCGUGUGGCCUGAGCACAAUGCUUAGCUUCUUUCUUUAUCCGAAAAAAGCAGAUAAACAUCUGCUCCUUCCUGGCCCACAGCCUUGUGGAAAGAAGCAAGGCCUGCGGUACGUGGCAGGGUUCUGAACAGAGGAGUUCCAGAUCUCCCAAGCCCAGCCCCCUCCAUCUCUCCCAAAGAAUGAUGGUAGAUGCUGAGACCUUUGGCAAUUUUCAGAAGUCCUCAGAGGCAUGCAGGAGGAGGAGGAAGGUAGAGGGAGUCAAGAUGGAAAGAUAAAGGGGGAUAGAAAAUAGUAGUAGUUUCAGAGUAGUUUUAGGGCAAGUUUUUCUGAAAAAGUCUGUUUCCUGUAGUGAUGGAGAUAAACCAGGAUGCCAAUCUCUAUUCUGAGGCUCUUGGCUGUGUGACUUUGGACAAGUUACUUGACCUCUCUGAGCCUCAUUUUAUGUAUGCAUAAAAGGAAUAAUGAGGAUCCCCAUCCCAGGCGGCUAUGAGGAUGAAAUGAGGUAACUCAUGUAAAA